GAAUAUAGUUCAAACAAAUUCUAGUCUGUGACGCUAGAGAUGAAGAUUAACUUACUUCUGUUCACC
rnacentral:tRNA from 1 species